AUAUCAUAUUAAAACACUGGCUUCCGUACGAUCACUAAAGUUAAGCAACGUCGAGCUUGCUCAGUACCUAGAUGAGUGACCGCUUGGGAAUAGCAGAUGUU